UGGGGGAUAUUGCACAAUGGGGGAAACCCUGAUGCAGCGACGCCGCGUGAGGGAAGACGGUUUUCGGAUUGUAAACCUCUGUCUUUGGGGACGAACAAAUGACGGUACCUGAGGAAUAAGCCACGGCUAACUACGUGCCAGCAGCCGCGGUAAUACGUAGGUGGCAAGCGUUAUCCGGAUUUACUGGGUGUAAAGGGCGUGUAGGCGGGACUGCAAGUCGGAUGUGAAAACCAUGGGCUCAACCUGUGGCCUGCAUUUGAAACUGUAGUCCUUGAGUACUGGAGAGGCAGACGGAAUUCCUAGUGUAGCGGUGAAAUGCGUAGAUAUUAGGAGGAACACCAGUGGCGAAGGCGGUCUGCUGGACAGCAACUGACGCUGAGGCGCGAAAGCGUGGGGAGCAAACAGGAUUAGAUACCC
rnacentral:rRNA from 1 species